UAUGUGAUCGUCUCUCGCAUAUCAAUAAGCGGAGGAAAAGAAACUAACAAGGAUUCCCCUAGUAACGGCGAGUGAAGCGGGAAGAGCUCAAAUUUGAAAUCUUAAAGGGUUUCCCUUUACGAAUUGUAGUUUAAAGAAGUGUUUUCUGUUGAGGUUUUGGUAAAAGUUCUUUGGAAUAGGACAUCAUAGAGGGUGAGAAUCCCGUAUUUGACCUUUACUUUCAACUUUGUGAUACACUUUCAAAGAGUCGGAUUGUUUGGGAAUGCAGUCCAAAGUGGGUGGUAAAUUUCAUCUAAAGCUAAAUAUUGGCGAGAGACCGAUAGCGAACAAGUACCGUGAGGGAAAGAUGAAAAGAACUUUGAAAAGAGAGUUAAACAGUACGUGAAAUUGUCAAAAGGGAAGCGUUUGACACCAGUGUUGUUUUUCUGAAAAUCAAUUAAAGAACUGUUUAUGCUAAGCUGUUUAGACUUUAUCAGCUAACUGUUUAGUUUUGAGCUUUUCUUUAAUGCACUUUUCAGUUAACAAGUCAACAUCAAUUUCUUUUGCUGUAAAAAAGCUUGAGGAAGGUGGCUUGAGAUUCGUCUUAAGUGUUUAUAGCCUCUUGCCUAUGCAGUCGGAGAGAUUGAGGUCUGCAGCGUAGAUCCUUCGGGGCUAAAUGCAUUUGUGCUAAGUUAUAGCAUUUUAUAGACAACUUGUUGACUAUGAUUUGUCUUGUAGCUUACUCGCUUAUGUUAUUUUACCUACGCUUAGGAUGUUGAGUAGCGACAUACGCAC
rnacentral:rRNA from 1 species